ensembl:lncRNA
GCAAGGUAAGUUAAGGUUAGCUUAGGUAAGCUAAGGUAAGCUAAACUAAGCUUCUGCAGGAGUGGAUGGAAGAGGAGUGGUGUCAAAUGGAGCAGGAAAGGGGUCAGCGCAGAGCCUACCGUGCAAGGAUAGACAUGCUGGCAGCGUACUCCUUUGAGGGUGGCGUACGGUAUGCCAGCCUGAACAGGGCAGUGCCCCUUCUCCGGCAUUAUUUUGCUGGGGAAGACACUCGCCCUGAUUUCCGGCUCAGCAGAGCAUCCAUAACCGGUCUGCUGCAGCUGCUCAACCAGGAGCGGAGCCAUGGAUGGGGGCCAACCAUAGAGGUCCGGGUGUUUCUGUUUUGGCUGGCCAGCGGUGCGUCGUACCGCGUGGUGUCGAGGGCAUUCGACAUGCCCAGGACCACGGUGCACAACGUCGUCCAUAGGGUCUGUGGCUGUGUGAUCGUGGCGAUGCCAAGGGUGAUCCGGUUACCUUCCACUGCUGAGGGGCAGAGAGAAGUAUCUGAGGGUUUUGCCCGACUGGCUAGGCAUGGGGCUUUUGCCAGGGCCAUGGGAGCCAUUGACGGC